rnacentral:rRNA from 1 species
GCAAAGCUGAUCAUCAAUACCGCGUGAGUGAUGAAGGUCUUCGGAUUGUAAAGCUCUUUUAGUGGAGAAGAUAAUGACGGUAUCCACAGAAAAAGCACCGGCAAACUUCGUGCCAGCAGCCGCGGUAAUACGAAGGGUGCUAGCGUUGUUCGGAAUUACUGGGCGUAAAGCGUGUGUAGGCGGCUUAGUAAGUCGAUUGUGAAAUCCCCGGGCUUAACUCGGGAAUUGCAACCGAAACUGCUUUGCUAGAGUUUGGUGGGGGAUGGUGGAAUUCCUAGUGUAGGGGUGAAAUCCGUAGAUAUUAGGAGGAAUAUCGGUGGCGAAAGCGGCCAUCUACGCCAAUACUGACGCUAAGACACGAAAGCGUGGGGAGCAAACAGGAUUAGAUACCCUGGUAGUCCACGCAGUAAACGAUGAGUGCUAGUUGUCGGGACUUUGGGUUUCGGUGGCGAAGUUAACACGUUAAGCACUCCGCCUGGGGAGUACGGUCGCAAGACUAAAACUCAAAGGAAUUGACGGGGACCCGCACAAGCAGUGGAUCAUGUGGUUUAAUUCGAUGUUACACGAAAAACCUUACCAACCCUUGAAUCUGGGUGACCGGCACAGAAAUGUGCCUUCGGAGCAAUC